rnacentral:miRNA from 1 species
CCUGUAUGCAGAUAGGAGCUACCCACUCCAGGUCUCCCCUCUGCUGAGAGCUGCACUUGUUGGGAAAACCUGCCUGCAGAAAGG